AGACGUCUACAUUAGAUACCCCGGUAGUCCCAGCCGUAAACUAUGCGCGUUAGGUGUAUCGGUGACUACGAGUUACCGAGGUGCCGAAGGGAAACCGUGAAACGUGCCGCCUGGGAAGUACGGUCGCAAGGCUGAAACUUAAAGGAAUUGGCGGGGAGCACCACAACGGGUGGAGCCUGCGGUUUAAUUGGACUCAACGCCGGGAAGCUCACCGGAUAAGACAGCGGAAUGAUUGCCGGGCUGAAGACUCUGCAUGACUAGCUG
rnacentral:rRNA from 1 species